rnacentral:rRNA from 1 species
UACGAAGGGGGCUAGCGUUGCUCGGAAUCACUGGGCGUAAAGCGCACGUAGGCGGAUUGUUAAGUCAGGGGUGAAAUCCUGGAGCUCAACUCCAGAACUGCCUUUGAUACUGGCGAUCUUGAGUCCGGGAGAGGUGAGUGGAACUGCGAGUGUAGAGGUGAAAUUCGUAGAUAUUCGCUAGAACACCAGUGGCGAAGGCGGCUCACUGGCCCGGUACUGACGCUGAGGUGCGAAAGCGUGGGGAGCGAACAGG